AGGAAAGAGUAGUUGGACAUGCUGCGUACCCCACUGACCCUGCAGCGUGGAGGCAGCAAACUAUCUGGCUCCCGUCGGUACGGAAUAGAACGGGUGGCUCUUGGCAGUACUUAUUAAGGAACUCAAGCACGUCUGGAUGCCAGCGAGGUGCAGCAGAGACCCUGCUGCUUCUUUCAACUCCUCAUCAAUUUCUUGACACAGCUCCUUGAGCGCUUUGCUGCUAGGCUGACUUUCCUUCGAGGUAUCUCCGCACGGUUGGGAUGCAUAGCCGCUGUCUCCAAGAGGGUCGUCUUCGUAGUCACCAUCCGUAUCCACUUCGCUGUGAAACCCUUCGCUGCCGUCACUUCCGUCGUGGCUGGUCUUGGAGAUGAACUCGUACACCUCAUCGAGGGAGGACAAGGAAGACACGCUGGACCUAGAUGCGCAGCGCUGGGAGCCCAUGCUGCUGGCACUGUAGUUGUGAUCCUCCUUCGGAUCAAUGUUGAUGGCCAUAGGAUCAUUUUCCUGCAGAUUCAUGGAACUGGGAGGGUUGAACGCACUGCCAUAACUCCUCUUCUUAGGUGUCUUCAGAGGCUGAGGUUUCUCACCUAUUAAAAAACCCCAAAACCCAAGAUUUGUCAGUAAGCAAAGAUUUCCAAGGAGACCACCUGCAAAACCAAGCACACUGCAGCUGGCUGACUGCAAAAGCAAGCUGAAUGUAAGCACUUAAGAGUCGGAAUACCUUGUGUGCAUUUGUGUCAUUCAUAUAGGACAUGGUCUUUGGCUAACCACAACUAAGGGCUAGUUAAACAAAAGCAACUAAGAAAGAAGAAAUGAAAAAACCUAUAACGGGGGGGGACACGACAACAUAGAAAGUGGGUUCUAUAAAACUCUAAUACUAGCAGAAAGAAUAAAUCAGAUUUGUUUCUUGA